rnacentral:rRNA from 1 species
ACGCACGCUGGCGGCGUGCUUCACCCAUGCCGGUCGAACGGAAAGGCCCUGCUUUUGUGGGGUGCUCGAGUGGCGAACGGGUGAGUAACACGUGAGUAACCUGCCCUUGACUUUGGGAUAACUUCAGGAAACUGGGGCUAAUACCGGAUAGGAGCUCCUGCUGCAUGGUGGGGGUUGGAAAGUUUCGGCGGUUGGGGAUGGACUCGCGGCUUAUCAGCUUGUUGGUGGGGUAGUGGCUUACCAAGGCUUUGACGGGUAGCCGGCCUGAGAGGGUGACCGGCCACAUUGGGACUGAGAUACGGCCCAGACUCCUACGGGAGGCAGCAGUGGGGAAUAUUGCACAAUGGGCGGAAGCCUGAUGCAGCAACGCCGCGUGCGGGAUGACGGCCUUCGGGUUGUAAACCGCUUUCGCCUGUGACGAAGCGUGAGUGACGGUAAUGGGUAAAGAAGCACCGGCUAACUACGUG